UCCCACUUGCUCUCAGGAACCCUGGGC
rnacentral:piRNA from 1 species